AGGUGCAACUGAUACGGAUCGGUGGUCUUGGCCUUCCCCAAUAAAUAGAAUUUGAUAAGAGACCAGUCAGGAAAUUCAGGUCAAGGAGGACAUUAUUAACUGAACCUGAACCGGCAGCUGCUGAGAUCUGAGGAGAUUUAUUUCGUAGCCUACAACACAGCACAGUACACCUGAGAUGCUCAAUAAAUACGUGUGGAAUUAAAGAACAUGCAAAGACUGGAAAUCAUGAAAGGAUCCAGCAGGUUCACUGAACAGACGUCACUCCAGUGUGC